GUUUAUUGAGGCAUUCACAAAGAGAACCAAGCUAGAGGAAUUAUUUCACAAAAUCUCUCCUUCUAAUCUUUUCUGGAAUAUCAUUUUAUAAACAUGAUGAUAAAUUCAAAAAUAAUUGUUCCCAUGACCAAAUUCCUUAAUAGAAAACAGUCUAUUUCUGUCAGUGUGGACGUGUUUUUCAUUUGCAAAAUCCUGACAAACUUUUCUUCCUCCCCCUUUUCCUGUAAGAAAUGAGCCAAGGGGGUGGGGGUUGGGGGGAAACAAAGCUGACUGAUCAUUCUUCUCCAAACAUCCCUUUGGAUUAAAAGGCACAAUUUCUCCUGCCAUUUUGACAUUCCCAACAUGUUUGCUUUUCUGUGUUCAGGGCUAGAAAGAGGAGUGAGUAUCUUUCCCAUAAUGCUGAGUACAAAAACCUAGGGAGCAGGUGUCCUAGUGUAACUGCCCAAGGGGUCCUUCCUGCCCACUGCACAAACAAAAUCAAUUCACAGAGACCAUGUCAUUGCAGUAAAGAAAGAGUUUAAUUAACGCGAGGCUGGCCACACCAUGCAGAAGAUGGAGUUAUUAUUCAAAUCAGUUUCAUGGAAGGUUCAGAUGUUAGGAGUUUUUCAGAUAGUUUGCUGGACAGGGAGCUAAGGUAUGGACAGUGCUGACUGUUUGGGUCAGAGAUGAAAUAAUAGGGAGUUGAAGCUGUCCUCUUGGACUGAUCGCUUCUGGGUGGGGCCACAGGAGCAGUUGGCAGGUCCAGGUGGAGCCUUCGGUCAGACAUGCAAAAAACCUGAAACGAUAUCUCAAAAGGCCAGUCGUAGGUUCUACAAUGGUGACGUUAUCUGCAGGAGUAAUUGGGAAAGUUGCAUAUCUUGUGACCUCCAGAAUAAUGGCUGGCAAUCCUUGAUAUCUAUACCUUAAUGAAAUUCAGGCUUUUCUAUCCUCCUAGUCUGGUGGUUUCUCAUUAGCUUUACAAAGGCAGUUGAGUUUUGGGAAAGGACUAUUAUCAUUUAAACUAUAAACUAAAUGUCUCCCAAAUAAGCCCAGGAAUAAUUAAGGGCAGCUUGAAGGCUAAAGGCAAGAUGAGGGUUGGCCAGAUCAGAUCUCCUUCACUGCCAUAAUUUCUUCACUGUUAGGGUUUUUGUAAAGGCAGUUUCACUAGCUACAGUUCAAUGACUAGAUCAUUUCUGACAAUAAUACAUCCUCUCUUUUGCUUAGCAAAUCCUGUAGGGAGAAGCAGAGCUGUAUCACACAAAGGCAUUCUUGACUCACCAGGUACUGAUUAUUAGAGCAAGGCCACUUAAGGGCCUCUUCUAGCCUUCUGGCAGUUGAAAGUCCUAAAACAUACAAAGUUCGCAGCCCUGCCCCUGCAAGACAGACAACAGGCUAGUCUAGGCAGAAGCAAAAAUUGUUGCCACUUAGAGUAACGGGAAGCUGUGCCUUCCAGGUGUCAUUUCUAAGAAUAAGAGUCAGGCAGAAAAGUUAGUACUUUGAAAGGCUUCAGCUGUCUUAAGGAAUGCUGUCUUAGCAUAGCUGAAACCUAUGUUGGAAUAGCUUGAAAUCCUACACCUAAUCACAGUACCUGAAGUCACCAAGACACUCAGGUUCAAUCUCCAUAGAGACAGCGAUCAGGUGCCAAGCAAUGGGAGUUUGUGGCCCAGCCCUAGCCUUUAUGUGUGACCUCUCUGACUCUCCCUGAGUCUCUGUGUCUCCAUCUGCGAGAUGAGAAUUACAAUUGCCAUUCAAACAUUCAAAUUCUCAGCGCUGUGUAGAGGAGCAAAUCAAAUGGGAAGGCGCUUUGUAGGCCAAGCCAUACCCCAGUAUCAUGAUUCCAAGCAGGAGAGAGAAAACCCAAACUGCACUUUUAUUGCCUUAUUUCACUACAGUCAGCAAGAACAGGACAGUCCAAUUAUGUAGACUCAUUUCAGCAGCAUGAACCUGAAUGACCACCCUAUCACCCCAUAUUUAGAAGGUGUCUCCUUACCUAAUUUUUGUGGAUCUGUUUUUGAUCCCUCACUCUUGUUUCCUCAUAAAGGAAACUCUGCACACAAGAUCUCUGUUCACCCCCCUUUAACUCACAGAUCUGUAAUGGUGAAACAGCCUUUCUAUCUGGGGUGCCACCCGAAGUUCUUUGUCUCAUGGCCAAGGAAAUCAAGGAUGCAGACACUCCAAGGGUGAGGAUAGAGCAGGACUUUAAUAAGCAAAAGAAAGAGAGAAAGCCCUCUGCCAUAGAGAGGGGUCCCCAAAAAAAAUGUUGCCACUUCACAGUUGAAUACAGAGGCUUUUAUUAGAAACUGAUGAGGGUUGGGUGUCUCAUUUGCAUGAGGUGCAAAUUUAUGGUAGCUCCACCCCAUCCUCCUAGUACACAUGUGGGCCCUUUGCUUGAGUUAUUCCAUAUUGCUUUAUUCCCCUUACUGCACAUGUGUCAGGGGAUGGAAUUUUCCAUUGCAGGGAUGUCUAGGCAAGUCUCCUGUGUAGCUUUUCUUAUCUAUGUGGCUGUGGGCAUACCUUAGGCAAGCACCUCUGUGCCAGUUCCCUUAUCUGUGUCUGCAAGCUGUUCUUUAUUUGAAAGAACUCAACUGAGGACCUACCCUAACUGCCUGCCUGACCAGUUUCUUCCUUCCUCCUCUUUCAGUGGUCUGCUUUUUGUUAAAUAAAUCAUGUUAAUUUCCACAGAAUUUAAGACACAUACACACAUACACAGACCAACCCCCCCCCACACACUUAAGCAGAUUUUAACAUGCAUUUUAAACUGAGGGAAUAUUUUCUUUCUUGAAGUUUUUGGGGACAUUGUAUUAAAAAAAUUAUAAACUGGUUACAUUUGCACUGAAAUUUUAGACAUCUCUAUGUUUUUCAUGUUCCCUCUCUCCCUGGAAAUGAAGAAUCUGCUAAUAUAGUUUCAGCAAGGAUGACAUCCACUUCAUUUGUGUACUGCACUCCUCAGAAGUGAUGGGCUUGUUUAAAAGUUAAUCAGGAAAAUCCUUUUCUAGAAAAGUGUACCAUGCCCUAAAAGAUCACUUUUGCAAAUGUGGAUUUUUUUCUGAGGGAAGAAUCUCUUGCCCCUCCACCCUUCUAUUAUGAAAAAUUUUAAACAUACAGUAAACUUAAAUAUUUUUAGUAAACAUCCAUGUACCUAUCACCCAGAUUUUGCCACCAAUUUUUUGCUAUACUUGUUUUAUCACGUCUGUAGAUCCAUCCAACCCUGUAUUGUCCACUACUCCAUCUUAUUUUCCUAAUGCACAAAUGUGGAUUUUGGCUUACAGAAUUUGCUUAAAAUGAUAUCCACUGUUGGGGCUACUACAAAGCUUUCACUCUUUUCCUGUUUACUUGAAAAGAACAACCUAUGUUCACCUAGAGACUUCAUUUGCCCUGGUGAGCUUGCGCUGCCUCAGUCAAAGGAUGAAGCAUGGCUCUGCUGAUGGACUGUUAGCCAUGGCUCAGUGAACUCAAGGCCACACUGACUCAAUCUUGUGCUGUGUCUGUGGCUCAGGCUAAAUGUAAGGUGUUCUGGGGUCCUUGUGGCUUAGAUCAUCAUGAGUGACUGGGAACCAUUAUGUGCACAGUGUCCUUUCCUCUCCUUCUACUCUGUUUUCCCUUAAGUCAAAUUAAUAUUCAGUCCCAUUGGCCAGGUGUGGUGGCUCGUACUUGUAAUCCCAGCACUUUGAGAAGCUGGGAUGGGAGGAUCACUUGAGCCCAGGAGUUCAAGACCAGCCUGGGCAACAUAGUGAGACCCAGUAUCUACAAAAAUAAAAAUAAAAAUAAAAAAUAGCCAGGCAUGGUGGUGCACACCUUAGUCCUAGCUACACAGGAGGUUGAGGUGGGAGGAUCACUUGAGCUCAGGAGAUCAAGGCUGCAGUGGGCCAUGAUUGUGCCACUGCACUCCAAUCUUGGUGACAAACUGAGAUCAUGUGUCUGAAAAAAAACAUGAAAAACAAUUCAGUCCCACUGUCAUUUCUCUAGAUUAGGCAUUGGCCACCCACAGCUAGCAUACCAAAAUUCAGGUCUUUAUUAUUUUUACUUGCCUACAGGAACAGCUGAGAACAUAUCCUGGGUCUUGUCGUGUCCUUCAUCUUCGAUUUUUGCACUUUGCUCCUGCUUCCUGGUGGCCCUUCUUUGCCUUACCCACAGAAACUCUAUGAUAUCUCCCUCUGACUGUCCACUCCAAGCUGCCCUUCCCCAAAAUAUGCUAAACUUUAAAACUACUCUUACUCUUCAGUCAAAAUGUUUAUUCUUACAUUAUAACAGAUCUCAGAUGGGAGAACAUGACUAAGGAUUAACUAAAGACACUUACACUAAGGUAUAAGUGGGUGAUAGACCUUAUCUUCAAAGAGAUUACAUUGUAUUUAUUUAUAUUUUUUUGAGACAGGGUCUCACUCUGUCACCCAGGCUGGAGUGCAGUGGCGCAAUCUAGGCUCACUGCAACCCCCUACCUCCCAGGCUCAAACAAUCCUCCUGCCCCAACCUCCCAAGUAGCUGGUACUACAGAUACACGUCACCACAACCAGCUAAUUUUUGUAUUUUUUUGUGGAGGCCGGGUCUCACUAUGUUGCCCAGGCUGGUCUCAGACUCCUGAGCUCAAUUGAUUCUCCCACCUUGGCCUCCCAGUGUUGGGAUUACAGGCGUGAGCCACCACACCCAGCCUUAGACAUUGCAUUUUAAAAGAAAAAGGUGCUUAUUAGCUCAAAUGGAUCUUAAAAUGGUAGUAUAUGUGAGAUAUCACGAGGUAGGCCCAUCUGGAUUAGUGAUCUUUGUCUACUUCCAGACCUGUGCUUGCUCUGUUCCCUUUACCCCAAUGUAAGGAAUUUGUUAUGUCUGACUCUUCAGAGAAGUUGGCAACCCCUGCUCUGGAUCUUCAGCACAAAAGGCAUACUCCUUUUAUUUGAGCUUGUUUCCCAUGCCACUGUCUUGAGUAAAUAACAUCUUAAACUAUCAUAGGUAGUUUCUGGAAAGUUUAGGAGUUUUCUAAGCAUGGGACACAUGCACAGAACAUCUGGGUGGUGGGCUUUUAGCAAUGCUUCAAGGGUCCCAGUAUCACUCAGAGCUGGGCACCAUUUGUCAGGGUGGGCAUUUGGAAGCUCCUAAAGUAAAAAAGUCUCUUUUAUUAUUGGCUUAUCUCAAAUGAGUUUUGGGGUCAUAGACUGCCAUAUUGUGCCCAAACUUGCUGCCCAGAUUUCCACAUUUUUAUAGUGUACUCAAUGCUUGUUUUUUUUAAAAAAAUAUUUUUAUAUUAGAAAUUGUUAUUUAGGUUUUGUUGGCAACAUAACCAUAACAUACCCUACAAAACCAAAGUAAUCACAAUAAUUUCUUAUACUUGUUAUAAGUUAUGAUUUCCAAAGUACUUUUAUGUAUGCUAUCUUAUUUCAUACAGCAGUGCUGACACAUACGCAGGGCAGAUAUAUAGAUGCCCACUUUGUAGAUGAGAAAAUGGAGGUUCAGAGAAGUGAGAUGAUUUUCUCAGGGUCUAACAGCUAAUGAGGGUCAGAACUCAAUUUCCCAUUUUCCAACUCCUAGAUUAUAGGACCACACUAAUUGGGUUGAUGAGAAAACCAACUUCUGAGAGGACUGAUUGUAUGAAAUGGAAAGAUCUGUGUUGGUAUAUGAUCCCUAAGAUUGAGCUUUGUAUGGUGGCACUUCCGUUCUUCCUCAAGAACUGAGCUUAGUGAUUAUUCAAACUUGGUAAAAUGCUCUGUAGCUAAGAAUUAUUAUAGAAAGAGAGUGUGUUGAGCUCUGGGGCCAGCAUGUUAUAUAAGAUCUGGGUGGAAUCUUUGUGCUGUCCAUUCCUACAAAAUAAGACUAAUCCUACCCCAGCAGAUGACUCACUACCACACAUCUGAAGACAGCAAGAAUUAAUAGCAGUUCUAGCCACUUGGCCGAAGAAAUCCCCACUUGGGUCACCUUGUGAAUCUUUCAGACCAAUCCCUCCACCCUUCUUAGCUGUCCCAAGGGUUCACAUUCUUUCUGUCUUUGCCUCUAUGAAUAAGUGUCAACUCUGAUCAGCAACAAAAGUUGGAUGCUAAAAGCAAACUGGGGAAAUGCCAAUUUCUAAAGUCUUUGAAGACUGUGUUGCAUCAAGCCUUCCCAAGAACCUCUCACCUGCAUCCAAGCCAAACAUUAUAUACAGGGCCUAGUGCAACACUGUGUUUUCUUUGGUUUUAAAAGAGAACUUUAAAACCAAAUCCAAUCUCUUAUUGAUGACCUUUGAACCAUUAGCCACUGUUGGGUAGUCGAAGUGGAACAAGUACAAGUAUUAUUGCUUAUCUUCAGGCUGGAUCUACUCACCAAAAUCAUUGGUUGAAAAGUAAAAAAAUAAAAAAUACACAAGUCAGAGCAGUUUGUGGUGUCAUGUAGACAAAAAUGUGCAGAAACAGUGUAUACCUGCACACAGAAUUCAGGAAGCUGGUUUGUAUCAAAAGAUGAAGCCUAGUUUUAGAAUGUGUGUAGUCCCUCACAUAGGAUGUUCAAAAGAAAGCUACUCUGGGGAGGGUCAGAGACAAAUGAUAGAUCAAACUAAAGAGGCAGAUUGCUUUUUAAAGAGAUGGAGCCAGGCAUGGUGGCUCAUGCCUGUAAUCCCAGCACUUUGGGAGGCCAAGGCAGGAGGACUGAUUGAGCUCAGGAGUUAGAAACCAGCCUGGGCAACUUAGCAAGACCUUGUCUCUACUACAAGUCAAAAAAAAAAAAAAAAAAAUCAGCUGGGCAUGUUGGCUCACGCCUGCAGUCCCAGCUAAUCAGGAGGCUGAGGUUGGAGGAUCGCUUGAGCCCAGGAUUACAAGGCUACAGUGAGCCUUGAUUGUGCCACUGCACUCCAGCCUGGGCGACAGAGUGAGAUCCUGUCGCAAAAGAAUAAAACAAAAUUUAAAGACAUGGAGUUAUCAAAGCUAAUCAGAAGAAGAGAUUUAAGCAUCAUGCUCAACUCUGAAACCUAACUUCUGUCACUUAGUAUCAGUAUCUGUCUUUGAUACUGAAAAUCCACAUGAUUGGAAACGAUUCUGUCUUGGUGUUGAGUGGCUACCAUCAAGUCAACCAGUGAUCCAAAUCAUUCAGAUACCGUGCAAGAAACUAGUCAUGAGAAGCUUGAUAUUUUUUUUCAUCAAAAAUGUCUCAACCUCAUUUGGACAGAAAUGGAAAAUGACAUUUGAAACUUUAAUCCGUUAAUAUGUAGUCUGGUUCUUUCCGAAGGUUGCAAGGUUUCCAAGUUCUGAAACUCAUAACUAACUAACCAUAUGGAAACAGAAUGUUCUACAAAUCUUGGCUUCCCGAAUAUUGUCAGAGUAUGAGUGACUCUCAUUGACACUGUGCAGGAACAUACAUGGAUGACUGCCUGCAUGUAUGUUCCUGCCAGGGCAAGCCCUUUCCUCUCAUAAGACGAGUCUCCUUACCAGGACAAGACCAUUGAAUGUUAAAUUUCCACCACCAAGCCUUUGCUCUUGCUGCUCCCUUACCCCAUACAAAGUGCCAGCCUUGCUUAUCCUUCAAGAUCCAUCUCUGAUUCCACCUGAUAUGGUUUGAGUCUGUGUCCUUGCCCAAAUCUCAUGUUGAAUUGUAAUCCCCAGUGUUGGAGAAGGGGCCUGGUGGGAGGUGAUUGGAUCAUGGGGGCGAAUUUCCCCCUUGCUGUUCUUGUGAUAGUGAGUUUUCAUGAGAUCUGGCUGUUUAAAGGUAUGUAGCACCUCCCCCUUCGCUCUCUUCCUCCUGCUCCAAAAAUGUAGGGACAUGCCUGCUUCCCUGUUUUCUGGAUGACAGAGCGAGACCCUAUCUCUCUCUCUCUCUCUCUCUCUCUCUCUAUAUAUAUAUAUAUAUAUAUAUACACACAUACAUAUAUAUAUACACAUACAUAUAUAUAUACACAUACAUAUAUAUAUACACAUACAUAUAUAUACACAUACAUAUAUAUAUACACAUACAUAUAUAUAUACACAUACAUAUAUAUAUAUACAUACACACACACAUAUAUAUAUAUUCUAAAUUAUUCCUAUGCUUUUAUGCUGGUCAAAUUCAUUUCUGGUCAAUACAUAAUACACCAUGAUUGUAAGUUUCCUGAGGCCUCCCCAGCCAUGCUUUCUGUACAGCCUGCAGAACCAUGAGUCAAUUAAACCUCUUUUCUUCAAAAAUUACCCAGUCUCACAUAGUUCUUUAUAGCAACGUAAGAAUUGACUAAGACACCACCUUCCCAUGAAACUUUCUGUGACUACUCCCCCAGUUGGGAUCUCUGCAGUUUCUCAUAGCCCAUGGGACUUAUCAUUGAUAUAACACAAGUUGAGACUCUUUGUUUGUCUUGCUGUCCCCACUUACUACUCUGCUCUAGUCCAUUCUCUAAUCAUAUCCUAACUACCACAGCUCAACUCCCAAAUGAGUGCCACAGAGAACAAGAGUGGGCUUGAAAGUCAGACAGAUGUGUCUUCAGUGUGGAGCCCUUCUACUUUUUCUAGGUCUGAGAAUGGUUGAAAUACCCAUUCAGAGCUUCUCUCAGUUUCUUCAUCCACUAGGAACAAUGGUACCCAUAUCACAGGGUUGUUGUGAGAGACAUUUGUAAUGUGACAAUGGCACAAGGCAUGGUACAUACUAAGCAGGUUUAAUAAAUGGUAGAUAUAUCUGUACUUCCCCAUGUCCUGUGCAGGAUACAGAAUGGGUAAUGGGUCAUAAUUUGAGUAAUGAAUAUAUUUUCAAUGCAGCAUCCCUGAUCAUUGGAUUAUAAAAUAAUAAUUCUGGAGUUAUAAGGCUGGGAAAGGUUAUAAGGUAUCAUCUUACUAUGAUGUAUUUAUUAAUAUGGAAAUGUGUUCACAAACUAUCAUUAAACCAAAAAGGUACUUUUUUAAAUAGGAAACUUCGGGUCUGUAUGCAUUUGGCCACAAGUGUGUGCACCUUUGUGCGUAGGUAAAAUAUCUUUGUCUAUACUUAUAUAGUUAGAUUAAGAAGUACACACUAAACAGUGGCUAACCAAAAUGUUAACAAUGGUUAUCUCUGAUUAAUAGGAUUGUAGACCAUUUAUCUGUAUUAAUACAUUAAAUAUUUAUUAUUAUAAAUAAGUACUAUUUAUAAUAUUGUAUAAUUGUUCUUAUCUGUAUUAAUUUUUCUGUAUUAAGUUUUUGUUAUGAACAUGUACUACUUGUGUAAACAAGGCAUAAUAUAUGAUUUUUAAAAUGCCAUAUAUAAAAUUAAAGUAUGAAUAGAGAUAGGGGCUUGGAGGUAGGGAAAAUGUAAAAAUAAAAAAACAACUUUUUAGGAUCAUGGGAUUAGGGGUGCUUUCUCAGCCCCCAAAUUUUCUGUUUUGUUAUCUUUCACUUGUUCUUCUUUCAUGAACUUUGCAAUAGCUUUUAGUUUAUACAAAUCAUUUCCUAGUCCAGAUGCAGUGGCUCAUGCCUGCAAUCCCAGCAUUUUGGGAGGCUGAGGUGGGAGGAUCACUUGAGCCCAGGAGUUCGAGACCAGCCUGUCCAACACGGUGAAACCCCGUCUUUACCAAAAAAUACAAACAUUAGCCAGGCGUGGUGGUGUAUGCGUAUAGUCCCAGCCACUUAGGGGACUGAGGUAGGAGAAUCACCUGAGCCUGGGAGGUCGAGGCUGCAGUGAGCUGUGAUCGUGCCACUACACUCCAGCCUGGGAAACAGAGUGAGACCCUGUCUCAAAAAAAAAAUCAUUUUCUAAAUUAUUCCUAUGCUUUUAUGCUGGCGAAAUUAAUUUCUGGUCAAUACAUAAUCAGGCUGUUAUUGACAAGGCAAUAUUCUAAGAAGGGAAUCUUCUUCAACAUCUAGAAUUAUCAAAAUGUAUAAAAUAGACUGACUAUGUCUUGACCAAUCUGUUAACUGGCUUCUUUCUGGUGGACCCCAGUUAUUUUGACUGUGGUACUCAGUGUCAUGUGGAUCCUGCCUAGAGUUUCCCAAUUGUUCCACAGCUCUGGGAACUGAAAAGCUCUUGUGCUGGUGGCCAGGGAGGGAGAGAAGCCUCUGCAUGUGUGCAUCAGCCUAUUGGAGUUGCCUUUUGUGAGGCUAGAAGCAUGGUGCCUACCAGAGCUGUGAGUAGCCCUGGGAUGCAGACUGUCCUUCCUUCCCAUCUGCUCUGCCAGCAGUUGUCCUGUCCCAGUAAGUACCUUCCCCUCCAUGCCACCCUGUCAUGGUGGCCAGCUCAGGACUGGGAUAUGGAGCUCUUAUUCACAACCCACAUGAACACAACCUGGAUUUGUAGCAGAGGUAGAGGAAUAAACGGGGCCAAGGCCAGGGGACACAGGAUAGAGUUGGAGAAGGUCUGUUCUUUUUUCUAUUGACUUUAGGAACAGGUGACUGUAUGGUUACAGUGGCUGCCUAGAUUUUAAACUCAGUUUGUUUUACAGUUUCAACAACAAGAUUAGAAAAUAUUUAUUGAGUUCUUACUAUUUGCUAGAUACUUAGUGAUAUGGUUUGGCUGUUUCCCCACCCAAAUCUUAUCUUGAAUUGUAAUUCUCAUAAUCCCCACCUGUCAUGGGAGGAACCUGGUGGGAGGUAACUGAAUCAUGGGGGCAGUUACCUCCAUGCUAUUCUCAUGAUAGUGAGUUCUCACGAGAUCUGAUGGUUUUAUAAGGGGCUUUUCCCCCUUUUGCUUGUCACCUCUCUUCCUGCUGCCAUGUGAAGAAGGGUAUGUCUGCUUCCCCCUUUCCACCACGAUUAUAAGUUUCCUGAGGCCUUUCCAGUCACGCUAAACUGUAAGUCCAUUAAAUCUCUUUCCUUUACAAAUUACCCAGUUAGCAGCAUGAGAAUGGACUAAUACACUUAGCUAUACUAAGGAGAUACACUGGUGAACAAAACAGACAAAACUCCCUUCCCUCACUGACUUUACAUUAUACUGUUGUAGAGUUUCUCUCAAACCUGAUGAUGGCUUUCCAAUUCCGAUCGAAACAGAAAAUAAGGUAAUGAACUCUGGAUUAAGAAUCAUCUGAGACACUUACCUGGCAGUGGAAAUACCAUGAUCACGAAGGUGGUUUUUCCAUGGCCAGCCUUAUCCAUUGCACUCAGAUGUGUUGACCCCUGCAAUUUCCCCAAAUGUGAAAAACUUGACUGCAUAAUUUGUGAUAGUAGGACUUUCAUUCACACUUUCCCCAGGGGAAAAAGAAAAAGGAAAUAGACGAGCACAUUUGACAUUUCUCAGUGGCGUGGCAGAUCUCUAGGGCUUUAUCUCCUUGUCUCAUUCAGAGUGUGCCUCUUCCAGGAAAUAGGCAUUUACAUUAUGAACACUUACUUUGAUCUAUUCUGCAUGAUCUUUGAUAUCCUCUGUCAUUUUGGAAAAUAGCCCCAGAAUCCAGACUUUCAGCUUUUGGGACAAGGUAAGCAUAGGGAGUAGACAAAAUUCCUUUCACCAAGAGGUGGAAAAAAGUGUAGUCUGUCUUACUACAAAUAGAUGUAAUGAGGUGGAAGAAAGUGUAGUCUGUCUUACUACAUAUAAAUGUAAUGCUGGGAGUAUAAUUUUCUAAUAACAGUAAAAGAGAAGGUCAUAGAAGAUACACAGCCUGCUAAAGAAGAAUUAUUUUAUAUAAAAUGUAACUAUGUCACAACAUGAUUUGUGUACAAUGUUCUGAUUAUAUUUAUAUCUUUGUUUUUGUUGCUGUUGUUGUUGUUUACUUGUUUUAGAGACAGGGUCUCACUCUGUCGCCCAGGCUGGAGUGCAAUGGUGUAGUCAUGGUUCACUGUAGCCUUGAACUCCUGGGCUCAAGUGACCCUCCCACCCUGGCUUCAUAAGUAGCUAGGAUUACAGGUAUGUGCCACCAUGCACAGAUCAUUUUUAAUUUUUUUUAUAGAGAUGGAGUCUCACUAUGUUGCCCAAGCUGGUAUGGAACUCCUGGCCUCAAGUGAUCCUCCUGCCUCAGUCUCCUAAAUUGCUGGGAUUACAGGCAUGAGCCACUGUGCCCAGUCUGUCUUAAUUUUAAGACUGCUAAAGAGUGAGACUUUUCGGCAAAAUACUUAACUAAGAUGUCCCAUAUUUAGCUUAGAUCUUUCCCAGAUUGGCUUGGAAAAUAUGAGUUUGUCCAUUUGUCAGUUUUCUUUGGUGAAGAAGACUGUGUGUGUCUGUGUGUGUGUGUGUGUGUUGGGGGGGAUAUUCAAGAAUAUAGAGAGUUGUUUUGUUCAAAGAACAUGGCCUGAAGCUUAUGACAAUGCUUUAUCAAACCCCCUGGCACUGGAAUCUAGCCACUGAUUUUUAUUAAACUUUGGAGCUUUUGCAAUUCUCACUGAGCUGAGGUCAGAGCUGGUGAAGCGCUGCCCCACUGCAUGCCCUGAUAACCACAGCCUCUUGGUAUAUCAUCUUAAUGGCCAAUGGAACCUCCUUCUCUUCCUCCCCACCGUGACUGACAUUUUCAGAAAUGCCCCAAAAUGGCACUAAACGAUGUGCAAACACACCAGAUGGAUUGCUAAUCUCUUUUCGAGGCUUUCUUAAUGGUGAAUUCAUAGCCCCUUGGAGCAAACUCAAUUUCUCUCUGUGUACUCUAUUUUCACUUUUACAAUUUUAGAAGAAAUCAUUUUGGCAAACAUAUUUUGUGACUUGGAUGAGAGGUAAUUUAUACAAUUGCUUUAUGUAGUACGACAACAAGCAGCAACUCCAGUCACAGGAGGAUGGACGGCUAUUCAUCAAUCACAACUGAGACACAUAAAUGGGUCUGGAGCCUUUUAUGUGGCUGAAACCAUGAACUUGGGGGCUACUUAAGGCAAAUCUUGUUUCUUUGGGGGGAGGGCAGUGCAGAUAAAAGCAAAAGUCAGCUCUUUGGAUCUUCACCUUUAUAUUAAUCACCAGAUCUUAAGAGAGCCUCAAAUGAGCCCAACAGAGAGGGUACAACUUUAAUGGUACAAAUGACACAGUGCUAAGGGUGGGCACCGCCAGGUCAUCCAUGCCAGGGAUGCACCUGUGGCCCCAAUCCUUGAGGGUGAUUGGGCAACUGAGUGAUACAACAUGAUCAUUUCUCCCAAUGGACCAGUCAGCCCACUGCAUAUUUUUCCUGGGAGUGCCUGUUGUCACCCCCAGUGAAAUUCCCAAAUCUGCCCAGAAGAUGUUGCUUUACACCUCAGGCUCAGCAAAAACUUUAACAUUUUUGAACACACAUACACAGACACACACAAUCACACAGAAAACACAACCUUGGAUGGAGGAGCUCUUAUCUAUGGAGCUGCAUGUGUUUCCUCUAUACCAUUGGUUUAUAACUAUGGCUGCACAUUAAAAUUACCUGGGAAGCUUUUAAAAUUCUCAAAUGUCCAGUCCCGCCACAGACCAAUUGAAUCACAAUUGUUAGGGGUGGGACCCAGGAGCCAAUAUUUUUCUUGAGCUCACCAUGUUAUUCUGAUUUGUGGCCAAGUCUGUGAACCACUGUUUUAAGCAGUUAAGGCCGAUAAAGGAAAUGGGUCUCUAACUUUAGUGCAUACUGGAAUCAACUAGGGAGCUUGUUAAAAUGCAGAUUCAGUAGGUCUGGGCUUGAGGCCUGAGAUUCUAUAUUUUUAACAAGCUCCUUAGGCAAUUUUGAGGAUGGUGGUCCAUGGACCACAUGUUGAGAACCCUGGCUAGAGAAUUCUACUCUGGAACUUGCAUGUUUCUCAAGCCUCUUUUAUUAUUUAAUUUCAAAAUGGCCCUCUCCUCUCAAACAGCUUCCUCUUCUGCCAGUGCAUAUGUGGGAGGGUAUAGUCCCUGGGGGGAUAAUCAGGUCAGUAAAUUCAGACCAUUCACCUUGUAGUAUCCAGAAGAGCCAAGACAAUACAUCAAAGGGAUGCGGAGGCAUGGGGUUGGGUUUGGAGAUGGACAGAGCAACAGGAAAGAGGAAGGGGGCUAGUUUUAGUCUAGUAGGUACUGGAGGCGGAAUUCAGAUUUGCAGUUAGAAAGUCACUCUGGGCGGGGUGCAGUGGCUGAUGCCUGUAAUCCCAACACUGUGGGAGGCCAAGGUGAGAGGAUUGCUUGAGGCUAGGAGUUUGAGACAAGCCUGGGCAAUGUAGUGAGACCCCAUUUCUACAAUUUUUUUUUAAAUUAGGUGGGCAUGGUGGUGUGUGCCUGUAGUCCCAGCUACUUGGGAGGCUGAGGUGGGAAGAUUGCUCGAGGCCAGGAGUUCAAAGCUGCAGUUAGCUAUAAUCACACCACUGCACUCCAGCCUGGGCAACAGAGAGACCCUGUUCCAAAAAAGAAGAAGAAAAGAAAGAAAGAAAAUAAGGAGAAGGAGAGGAAAUAAUCCCUGUCUUGGAUAGUCAGAGUUGGGAAGAUCAGUCCCUGCAGCACACCACCCAAAAGGUAAGAUAUACUCAACCUGGGCCUAGACAAAGACAUCCUACCAAGGGUUCCGGAGGGUGCCUCCAUAGUUACACCUCCUACCUAUACAGCCCCCACCUGUACAGCAUUGUUUCUUGUCCAGCUUUUCUGUUUUUGCUGAACCCCAGGAGAACAUUGUGGGUAUUGCUGCUGCUAAGCAACUAUAAGAUAAAGGGAAAGGGAUGAAGUGGGGAGGGACCAUAGCCAUGAGAAAGAGAUCUUAAGUGUAUCUUGUAAUUGCAUAUGCUCACUAGAUAGUUAUCCAUUCUUCUGUGUAUUUUGCUGCCCAUUCCACAGACUCAACUGAUGUGGAAUUAGAGUGCACAGCCCUUAAUGCCAGGUAACAAGCAAAAUGCUACAUGGAAAGAGUAUGGAUUUUGCAGGUAGACCAGGGCUUCCAUCCCACCUCUGCCACUUAAAAAUGGUGUGGCCUCCCCAUGUCCCCCAUAUGAUAGUAACACCUCUGUUGAGUCUCUCUGUUGGGGGUGGGAGAGCAUGAAAUUAGAAAAGGCUUCAGAGAGGAGGUCGAAGGUGGAGUAAGAUUUCCACGGGCACAGAUAGUAGGGAAGAACUUCCUAGGAGGAGGUAAGGAUAUGCAAAAGACUGGAAAGGAUGGUUGCUGUACUGUUAGAAUUUGUUACUGGAAUCAAUCCAGGUGGCUGCCAUACAGUACUUUGUUGUUGUUUACCAUAUUUGUUUUCAACUUGUAGUUUGCAUUUAGCUUGCUCUGACCAAUCAGGAGACGGGUAUGAGUUACUUUGUUAUUUCUUUGCACUGGAAUUUGCAGAACAUUGGCAACCUAACAAGUGCAAACCCCCAAGUACAAAUCUGGGGCCUUUCUACAACAUCCAGCCCCAUGCUAACUGAUCCCGGUGUUUUCAACACUACAUUGCACCCAACUCUAAUGUUUUCCCAUAUUCCCCACCUGGUAGCAGCAAGAGAGCCCAUUACCUGUUAGAGAGGGAAAGGAUCAGUGAACACAUGAUCACUGAUGAUCGAGAAGGCUGCAUUUGAGCGGGAUCCUGACAGGUGGGCAGAGAUGGAGGGAAAGGACAUUCUAGUAAGAGGCUGAUUACUCUUAAAUAGUGGUCUAUAGCACAGACAUUGGUGCUAGAGGGUCAUGGAUUCAAACGCUAGUAUGGCCAUUUCCUAGUUCUACUCAUGAUCCCCUUCCUCAGUCCUCUCUCACCCCACAUCCAUUCUCCCAGUUGUAUAAACACUCUCCUAACUGCCCAUGCUCAGUUAGAUCUUUGCCUAUCCUGUGUAUCUGAUCUUCAAUGCCUGCACAAUCCCCUUCCUGUAACCCACUUAUGGUACAUGGUCAGAAUAGUCAGGCCACGGCUUACUAGCUGUAAGAUGCUGAGAAAGUUGCUUAACUGCUUAACUUCUAUGAGCUUCAGUUUCUUUAUUUGUAAAAUGGGGAUAUUAAAAGCACUCCCUUAGCCAGGCAUGGUGGCCUGCUCCUGUCAUCCUAGCUACUCACAAGGCUGAGGUGGAAGGAUUGCUUGAGCCCAGGAAGCAGAGGUUGCAGUGUGCUGAGAUCACACCACUGCACUUCAGCCUGGAAAACAGAGACCCUGCCUCAAAACAAACAAACAAACAAAAAGCACUCCCUUACAGGAUUGUUAUAGGAAUUAAAUAAAAUACCUUGUAUAAAAUUCUUAGCAUCGUGCCUGGAACACAGUAAAGUUUUAGCAUAUUAUUUAAUAGCUCCUUAUACUGGAGCUGUUACUAUUACCCACUCCAAGAAUUAUGCUAAGUGUUGGGAAUACAGUGAACAAGAAAGACAAAGUACCACCCUCCACCACAUGGAGCUUACACUCUAAAAGCGGGAGACAGUCAAUAAUAAACAAGCCAGUAAAUGUACAUGAAGUCAAGUGGCGACAAGUUCUAAAGAAAAAUUCAAGCAGGGUUGGUGGAUGGGGACUUUUGGGACAGUGAGACAUUGAGUGAUCAGGGAAGACCUCACAUAGGAAGUGUGUAUUGAGCUGAGACCUGAAAACACAGGAAAGUAAGAGUGAGUCAUGGAGAGAUUUGAAGAAAAGAGCUUUCCCUGUAGAGGGAAGAGCAAGUGCAAAGACCCCAAGGCAGGAGAGUUCUUAAUGUGUUUAGAAUAGCAAGGAUGGUUUAUUUAUUUAGUAAAUGCAGGUGUUUGCUUAAAGGGAUACAUGGUUGUCCAUAUCUGUAUGUUUAUCUGAAAGUCCUACAUACUGAAAGUCAUGGAGAAGAAGGUAAUUGUGAAAUCUGAUGGUCCUUCCUGGAUCCUUGAAUGCUGCUGCUCUCCUGUGCUGUGGACCUUUGGGUCAUGCCUGCCUGUGCUAUACAUGUUUAGCUUAGAGUACCCAGAGAAGGGAAGAAGCCUUCCUUUGAUUAUCAGUAUAAGGCUGAGAAUAAGGUUCCAAAUCCAUAUACUGGAUUUUUAUGGAUCAAUGACUCAUCCUUUUUUCAUUCUUCCACUCAACAAGCAUUUAUGACUUACUUUCUUUAGGUAUAACUAUGCUAAAUUCUGUGAAAGAUACAAAUAAUUCUAGGAUAACAGGCCCAGCCAUCUUGAAGCCUUUUUGGAAACAUUCGGGAUAAAUCAUAAUUUGUAGAACUAUACAAUCUCAGUCUUUAAGAACUAGAAGUGAGAAGACAUACAUAUAUGAACAGCUAAGAAAAUGGUGAUUAGUGUUAAUCGCAGUCCUAGACAGUUGUAUAGAAAUAGCACAAUGUAGUGAAUGUGAGAUGAGUUAUGCAAAUAAGGAAAACUAUAGCAGUUGGUCAGGAGAGGCAUCCUGGAAGUAGAGAGGCUCAGGUUGGGCCUUAAAAUCUAUGCAGGGGCAUAGAGGAAGAAAGAAAGAACAAGAGAGCAAAAUGCCAACCGUUUUGAGAUGACCACUCCUGAGAAAAACAUAUGCUAAAUCAGUCAUGCUAGCUAGCUAGCUCUCUGCCAUUAUGAUUCAUGAUCCAUCAUCUGGAGUUGUCAUAACUUGUAACACAUCUGUUCUCUAAAAUCCUAUGUAUUUAUACAUUCCACAUGACAAGUGAACUCAAAUUCAUAAAAUAAUAGUAUCCCUGAUUUCCUGAGAACUUGGGCCUAAGGUAGCAAUUGGUUUUAGACUUAAUGUGCUUCUAGCUCAUGCAAAUGAUUCCAAAUUGCCAUAUGAAGAUGGAUGCCUUUUCCAACUUGGGUACACUUUGAUAGCAGAGGUGACUAGGGCAUCUUUUUCAAGUUCAGGCAGAAAAAUACCUGCAAAGGCCCAGACACCUAGGCCAAAUAACUUUGGUUGGCCUGAUAAAGUUGUUUCUCUUGUGGGCUUCCAGGCUCAGUGGGUGUGGUGGCUGUAUCCAGUGAGCUCAGCUCUGGCUGUUUUUUCAUGUAGAACAGUGUAAUCUAGUCUCUUGGACUGGGCUGGAUCUUUGCUUUUAAUUACAAUGGCGUACUGAGAAUGGACUGGGUUCUUACUUUUGUUCUUUACUUAGGUUAACUCAAAUCAUUCUUUUAGUUUCCUUCCUUCCUUCCUUCCUUCCUUCCUU
rnacentral:lncRNA from 1 species